rnacentral:rRNA from 1 species
AUUGAACGCUGGCGGCAUGCUUUACACAUGCAAGUCGAACGGCAGCACGAAAGAGCUUGCUCUUUUGGUGGCGAGUGGCGAACGGGUGAGUAAUGCAUCGGAACGUACCGAGUAAUGGGGGAUAACUGUCCGAAAGGAUAGCUAAUACCGCAUACGCUUUGAGAAGGAAAGUGGGGGCUCUUCGGACCUCACGUUAUUCGAGCGGCCGAUGUCUGAUUAGCUAGUUGGUGGGGUAAAGGCCUACCAAGGCGACGAUCAGUAGCGGGUCUGAGAGGAUGAUCCGCCACACUGGGACUGAGACACGGCCCAGACUCCUACGGGAGGCAGCAGUGGGGAAUUUUGGACAAUGGGCGCAAGCCUGAUCCAGCCAUGCCGCGUGUCUGAAGAGGGCCUUCGGGUUGUAAAGGACUUUUGUUAGGGAAGAAAAGGAUAGUGUUAAUACCAUUAUCUGCUGACGGUACCUAAAGAAUAAGCACCGGCUAACUACGUG